UUUAAUAUGAACCGUUAGAUCUAAGUCAAGUCGAUCAACAGCUAAGAUCUUAUUGAAUCCGAUCAAGAAAUAAUUUCCUCGAUCCCCAAUCAAAAUGAAAUAUUGUCGAGGUCAAUUCAACUAAUAUUUAUAUAGUUGCUACCCAUAACAAUUUCCACUACAGCGAGCUUGGAACAUCCAAAUUAAUCCAAAUUAUUAUUGUUGAAUUCAGUUCAACUAUUUACUAACUAAUCUCCAAUGACGGCCUCGCUACAAGCACACACUCCGACAGGGAGACAUACACAGUUAGGUUUCUCAGGAAGGGUGCACGAAAUACACUUCGCGAUGCAAUCCGAAUUCUUUACGCAAACCGGUAAAUCCAUCGUCGAUAUUCCUCUCGCUUCGACUCCUGCGAAUCUCGCCGUUUCUCCAUCUACAAGCACACACAUUUACGAUCAAAAUCCAACAUCAAAUUAUACUUUGCUCAUUGAAACCCGUUUAGAAGUUCAAUUUAAACUGAAUUUGAAGUUUGUAUACUAAAAACCAUUGACGAGUUCAGUUAAAAAUAAACUAUCCUAAAAUUUGUAAGUUUUUAUUAACCUAAACAAUAGACCACUUGCAUUUUUAUUAGCAUAUACACAUUAUUGAGUCUACUAACGAGCCAUAUAUUCGAGCUAGUAUUCGAGUUGGCUCUCGAGCUCGAGCUCGAUCUAGCUCGCGAGGCUAUCGAGUCGAGCAUACCCUGACUCAAACUUAAAUCAUUUAAAAUCGAGCACAAUCACAAACGAAUUUUUUUCAAACCGAACAUUUAGCUGCUCGCGAGCGGAUUGGCUCGUCAGCAGCAAUACGGAGAAGAGAUUGAAGAGGCUAAUUUACAUUGAGAAAUAAGAAGGAAAGUAAGCAAGAAGCAAACAACUCUGAUGGAUGCCUUCUCCAUUUGUCUUUGAUUAACUAUUUGGUUAAGAAAUUGAUGAGAUUUUGUAAGAGAUUUUUUUCUUUGUUCUUGAUGAUGUUUUUGAAUGUUAAGUUUGAAGCCUAUUUAUAAGCCAAGAUGGGUUAGAUUUCGG
rnacentral:lncRNA from 1 species